AUUAGUCUGGUGGAUGGUGUAGUUCGAAAAUAGAGUGUUACAAUAGAUCAACUACACCGCGAGGGAGUACUUACCCAUUUAUUGGUAAUCAAACCAACUUCUGAGGGUUACUAGAUACAAAUUCCACUUUUAAUCCAGAUUUCUACAAUUGGCAUAAAGUUUACAUUUACUAUUGUGAUGGCUCAUCAUUUAUGUCAGAUAUCAAACAUGUCGAUCCAAGGACCAAAGUCACUUACCGGGGUGCAAGGAUUUUUAAAGUCGUGAUGGAAGAAUUGCUCUCUAAAGGAAUGGG